CAUCAGUGGUGGGUUGCCCCCGGUUUGGACCGGUUCGCAAGAACCGGUGUGUAAAACCUGCGGAAGGCUCCGCCCACUGACCCGGAUGUCGUCAUAGGCGAUCUGCGCAUCGCGCGCGGGCAGAAUGCAAACCGGGAAUAAAGAUAGCCCAUGACUUAUGAUCAUUUGGUUAAUGGCUGAAGUAACAACCGCAGUGAAAAAGUUAGUUACAACCGGUCCCCAGAUUUACAACUGUUGCAGCUUCCCCACAGCCAUGUGAUCACUAUAGGGGCUUCCAACAAAGUCAACAAAGGAACCCAGAUUUGCUUAAUGACUACGGUAAAAAAUGGAAUGGGCAGCUAACCACGGCCAAGUCGCCAUGGGACAACUCACUGUGGGAAAAUGUAACAUUUCAAUUUAAUUAAAAUAAAUAAAAUCUUAUUUUAA